AUGCGUGUCCUGCACAUUAAGUUAUCAAGGUUAGGGAAAGCUCUGCGCCUUUGGAGCAGGACAAGAGUUGGGAACAUCAAGCUACUAACUGAGAUCGCUAAUCAGGUGAUCUACGGUCUGGACUAUGCUCAAGAUCUCAGGGACCUCACCCUGGCUGAAAUUCAGCUGAGACAGCACCUCCGGCACAAGGUUCUAGGUUUGGCUGCGGUGAAUCGCAUCCGCAUAAGGCAACGAUCAAGAUUGGUCUGGCUCAAGCACGGAGAUGCCAACUCCAAGCUGUUCCAUAUCAGGGCAAAUGGGAGAAUACGGAAAAAUUUCAUCCCGGUUUUGGAAUCUGAGGGACAAACCUUCUCUUUACAAGAAGACAAGCAGCGACUUCUCCUGCAGCACUUCAAGAACUCCUUUGGCUCGGUUACUCCAACUGGCUGCUCCCUUAAUUGGAAUGCCCUCAGCAUUCCAACGUUCGAUCUCUCUGAGCUGGAUACACCCUUCACCGAAGACGAGAUCAAUGCUGCUGUUAUGGCAUUGCCGACGGAUAAGGCUCCUGGACCGGACGGAUUCACCGUUGAUUUCUUCAAAAAGUGUUGGGCCACGAUCAAGGGGGACCUUAUGAGGGCCAUUCACCAAUUUUAUGGGCUCAAGGCGAAUCGACUACACCUGCUUAACUCAGCACACAUCACCCUCCUGCCAAAAUCUGAAUCCGCUUCCAAGGUGAAGGAUUUCCGGCCUAUAAGUCUCAUGCACUCUGUUUCUAAAAUCAUCUGUAAGGCCCUGGCCAUCAGACUUUCCCCACACCUACAAGAAAUCAUUCCCCACUCGCAGAGUGCUUUCAUUAAAAAGAGGAACAUCUAA
rnacentral:rRNA from 1 species